rnacentral:rRNA from 1 species
GACGAACGCUGGCGGCGUGCUUAACACAUGCAAGUCGAACGGAAAGGCCCUGCUUUUGUGGGGUGCUCGAGUGGCGAACGGGUGAGUAACACGUGAGUAACCUGCCCUUGACUUUGGGAUAACUUCAGGAAACUGGGGCUAAUACCGGAUAGGAGCUCCUGCUGCAUGGUGGGGGUUGGAAAGUUUCGGCGGUUGGGGAUGGACUCGCGGCUUAUCAGCUUGUUGGUGGGGUAGUGGCUUACCAAGGCUUUGACGGGUAGCCGGCCUGAGAGGGUGACCGGCAACAUUGGGAAUGAGAUACGGCCCAGACUCCUACGGGAGGCAGCAGGGGGGAAUAUGGCACAAUGGGCGGAAGCCUGAUGCAGCAACGCCGCGUGCGGGAUGACGGCCUUAGGGUUGUAAACCGCUUUCGCCGGUGACGAAGCGUGAGGGACGGUAAUGGGUAAAGAAGCACCGGCUAACUACGUG